rnacentral:rRNA from 1 species
GAUGAACGCUGGCGGCGUGCCUAAUACAUGCAAGUCGAGCGAACGGACGAGAAGCUUGCUUCUCUGAUGUUAGCGGCGGACGGGUGAGUAACACGUGGAUAACCUACCUAUAAGACUGGGAUAACUUCGGGAAACCGGAGCUAAUACCGGAUAAUAUUUUGAACCGCAUGGUUCAAAAGUGAAAGACGGUCUUGCUGUCACUUAUAGAUGGAUCCGCGCUGCAUUAGCUAGUUGGUAAGGUAACGGCUUACCAAGGCAACGAUGCAUAGCCGACCUGAGAGGGUGAUCGGCCACACUGGAACUGAGACACGGUCCAGACUCCUACGGGAGGCAGCAGUAGGGAAUCUUCCGCAAUGGGCGAAAGCCUGACGGAGCAACGCCGCGUGAGUGAUGAAGGUCUUCGGAUCGUAAAACUCUGUUAUUAGGGAAGAACAUAUGUGUAAGUAACUGUGCACAUCUUGACGGUACCUAAUCAGAAAGCCACGGCUAACUACGUGCCAGCAGCCGCGGUAAUACGUAGGUGGCAAGCGUUAUCCGGAAUUUAUGGGCGUAAAGCGCGCGUAGGCGGUUUUUUAAGUCUGAUGUGAAAGCCCACGGCUCAACCGUGGAGGGUCAUUGGAAACUGGAAAACUUGAGUGCAGAAGAGGAAAGUGGAAUUCCAUGUGUAGCGGUGAAAUGCGCAGAGAUAUGGAGGAACACCAGUGGCGAAGGCGACUUUCUGGUCUGUAACUGACGCUGAUGUGCGAAAGCGUGGGGAUCAAACAGGAUUAGAUACCCUGGUAGUCCACGCCGUAAACGAUGAGUGCUAAGUGUUAGGGGGUUUCCGCCCCUUAGUGCUGCAGCUAACGCAUUAAGCACUCCGCCUGGGGAGUACGACCGCAAGGUUGAAACUCAAAGGAAUUGACGGGGACCCGCACAAGCGGUGGAGCAUGUGGUUUAAUUCGAAGCAACGCGAAGAACCUUACCAAAUCUUGACAUCCUUUGACAACUCUAGAGAUAGAGCCUUCCCCUUCGGGGGACAAAGUGACAGGUGGUGCAUGGUUGUCGUCAGCUCGUGUCGUGAGAUGUUGGGUUAAGUCCCGCAACGAGCGCAACCCUUAAGCUUAGUUGCCAUCAUUAAGUUGGGCACUCUAAGUUGACUGCCGGUGACAAACCGGAGGAAGGUGGGGAUGACGUCAAAUCAUCAUGCCCCUUAUGAUUUGGGCUACACACGUGCUACAAUGGACAAUACAAAGGGCAGCGAAACCGUGAGGUCAAGCAAAUCCCAUAAAGUUGUUCUCAGUUCGGAUUGUAGUCUGCAACUCGACUACAUGAAGCUGGAAUCGCUAGUAAUCGUAGAUCAGCAUGCUACGGUGAAUACGUUCCCGGGUCU